rnacentral:rRNA from 1 species
GACGAACGCUGGCGGCGUGCUUAACACAUGCAAGUCGAACGGAAAGGCCCUGCUUUUGUGGGGUGCUCGAGUGGCGAACGGGUGAGUAACACGUGAGUAACCUGCCUUUGACCUUGGGAUAACUUCAGGAAACUGGGGCUAAUACCGGAUAGGAGCUCCUGCUGCAUGGUGGGGGCUGGAAAGUUUCGGUGGUUGGGGAUGGACUCGGGGCUUAUCAGCUUGUUGGUGGGGUAGUGGCUUACCAAGGCUUUGACGGGUAGCCGGCCUGAGAGGGUGACCGGCCACAUUGGGACUGGGAUACGGCCAGGACUCCUACGGGAGGCAGCAGUGGGGAAUAUUGCACAAUGGGCGGAAGCCUGAUGCAGCAACGCCGCGUGCGGGAUGACGGCCUUCGGGUUGUAAACCGCUUUCGCCUGUGACGAAGCGUGAGUGACGGUAAUGGGUAAAGAAGCACCGGCUAACUACGUG